GACGAACGCUGGCGGCGUGCUUAACACAUGCAAGUCGAACGCGCCCUUCGGGGCGAGUGGCAGACGGGUGAGUAACGCGUGGGAACCUACCUUUUGGUACGGAAUAACUCAGGGAAACUUGAGCUAAUACCGUAUAAGCCCUGACUUUUAAUCGGGUCUGGGGAAAGAUUCAUCGCCAAAGGAUGGGCCCGCGUCGGAUUAGCUAGUUGGUGGGGUAAUGGCCUACCAAGGCGACGAUCCGUAGCUGGUCUGAGAGGAUGAUCAGCCACACUGGGACUGAGACACGGCCCAGACUCCUACGGGAGGCAGCAGUGGGGAAUAUUGGACAAUGGGGGCAACCCUGAUCCAGCCAUGCCGCGUGAGUGAUGAAGGCCUUAGGGUUGUAAAGCUCUUUCGCCGGUGAAGAUAAUGACGGUAACCGGAGAAGAAGCCCCGGCUAACUUCGUGCCAGCCGCCGCCGUAAGAC
rnacentral:rRNA from 1 species